AGCGAACGCUGGCGGCAGGCCUAACACAUGCAAGUCGAACGGAUCCUUCGGGAUUAGUGGCGGACGGGUGAGUAACACGUGGGAACGCGCCCUUUGGUUCGGAACAACUCAGGGAAACUUGAGCUAAUACCGGAUGUGCCCUUCGGGGGAAAGAUUUAUCGCCAUUGGAGCGGCCCGCGUCUGAUUAGCUAGUUGGUGGGGUAAAGGCUCACCAAGGCGACGAUCAGUAGCUGGUCUGAGAGGAUGAUCAGCCACAUUGGGACUGAGACACGGCCCAAACUCCUACGGGAGGCAGCAGUGGGGAAUCUUGCGCAAUGGGCGAAAGCCUGACGCAGCCAUGCCGCGUGAAUGAUGAAGGUCUUAGGAUUGUAAAAUUCUUUCACCGGGGACGAUAAUGACGGUACCCGGAGAAGAAGCCCCGGCUAACUUCGUGCCAGCAGCCGCCGUAAGAC
rnacentral:rRNA from 1 species